UACGUAGGGGGCUAGCGUUGUCCGGAUUUAUUGGGCGUAAAGAGCGUGUAGGCGGCCAGAUAGGUCUGCUGUGAAAACUCGAGGCUCAACCUCGAGAUGUCGGCGGAAACCAUUUGGCUAGAGUCCGGAAGAGGAAAGUGGAAUUCCUGGUGUAGCGGUGAAAUGCGCAGAUAUCGGGAGGAACACCUGUGGCGAAAGCGGGUCUCUGGGCAGUAACUGACGCUGAGGAGCGAAAGCCAGGGGAGCAAACGGG
rnacentral:rRNA from 1 species